rnacentral:rRNA from 1 species
UACGGAGGGUGCAAGCGUUAUCCGGAUUCACUGGGUUUAAAGGGUGCGUAGACGGGCAGGUAAGUCAGUGGUGAAAUCUUCGAGCUUAACUCGGAAACUGCCUUUGAUACUAUCUGUCUUGAAUAUGGUGGAGGUAAGCGGAAUAUGUCAUGUAGCGGUGAAAUGCUUAGAGAUGACAUAGAACACCUAUUGCGAAGGCAGCUUACUACGCCUAUAUUGACGCUGAGGCACGAAAGCGUGGGGAUCAAACAGG